GCGAAACCGGUGCCAGCGUCUGGGGUAAUACAGGGGGGCGGGGCGGGAGUCGGAAUCACUGGGCGUAAAUGGGGUGGUGGCGGUCCGUCAAGUGCUUUGUGAAAUCCAACAGGUGAACUGGGGAACAGCAGGGCAAACUGGAUGACUUGAGGCAGGUAGGGGCCGGAAGAACAGGUGGUGGAGCGGUGAAAUGCGUAGAUAGCAACUGGAAGGCCGAUGGGGAAGCCGUCCGGCUGGGCCUGUCCUGACGCUGAGGCACGAAAGCGUGGGGAGCAAACAGGAUUAGAUACCCUAGUAGUC
rnacentral:rRNA from 1 species